rnacentral:rRNA from 1 species
UACAGAGGGUGCGAGCGUUAAUCGGAAUUACUGGGCGUAAAGCGUGCGUAGACGGUAGCGUAAGUCAGAUGUGAAAGCCCCGGGCUCAACCUGGGAACUGCAUUUGAGACUGCUCUGCUCGGGUGCGGUAGAGGGAAGCGGAAUUUCCGGUGUAGCGGUGAAAUGCGUAGAUAUCGGAAGGAACACCAGUGGCGAAGGCGGCUUCCUGGUCCAGCGCCGACGUUCAGGCACGAAAGCGUGGGGAGCAAACAGG